GUGAGAUGUUGUAAUUUUGGAGAUUAUGUAAAUGAUGGGAAGAAUUAGGGUUAGGUUUAGUUGGAUUAUUGGAUAAAGAAAGGUCAAAACAAGAAGAAGAAGAAGUGUUAAUAGGAUUUGUUGAUUCCACCACAUGAGCUCUUUUACAAAACCCUAAAUCCAUAUGAAUAUCAUCUUCACUUGUAAUUUUCCUCUUCCAUGUUGAUGAUGAAGGUUUGAUG
rnacentral:misc_RNA from 1 species